UAGGAUCGAGCCUUUUAUUUUUCCUGCUCAAGAUUAAAGAGAAUAAUCCUUACUUCACUGUUUCUUUUCCGUUAAUCCUUAAUUUACCGCUCACCUCUACUCAGAUUCCGACCUCCAUCUCGAAGCAUUUACUCUAUCUGUCUAUCAUUGUAAGUUACUUUACCUCUCUUUUGUCUCUUUAGAUAAUUUUGAGUUCUUUUUAAAACAAUUUUCAAUUUAAACUCUCAACUCUUUUAUAUUAUUAUAAUAUCUCUACCAAUUAAGUUACCUUAACAUUAACUUUACCAAAUUAUUUUAAUGAUUCUCACAUGAAAAAGGGCUCGUGAAAAAGAAAAAGUAGAGAUGAUUGUUACACGAGUCCAUAAAAUGUGCGAUUAAAUGCAAAAUGCUAGGGAAAACUUUUUUCAUCCUCUAUCAUUUUGUUCGGAAAUACACAUUCAAAAAUAUAUAGUGAAUCUCUUAUUCUACUUUUAAUAUUGUAGAAUUCAAACAUUUACGCCUCCAAAAUUUACAAAUACAUAAAAAUAAAAAAUAAAAAAUAAAAACUUGAUUUUGAAUGACGUUUAGAGGUAAAAAUAGAUUGGACUGAGUUAGAUUAUGCAAAAUCUAGCUAAAUGUGACUUUUCAAAAAAUUUAAGGCAUAAGUUUGACAUCUUGAAAGUUUGAGAUAUGAUUUGCUUAAGAUGGUAUCUCUUCCCACCCCCAAGUUUCUUUUUUCGCGCAAAACACGCAGAAAACUUCGGAAAAUAUUUUCAAAUUUACACUGAAAAAAAUUCGAAAAAUGUUUUCCAAAAUUUUCUACACGAAAAGUGAAAUUUGGGGUGAAAAGAGAAAUCAUCUUUGCUUAAUAGGUCUGGUCCCGAUAAUUUGGAGUCCCGUAUCAAAAAAUAAAAAUUGACACAAGUAAAUGAGUAUUUCUUUUAGUCAGUAGCUAACUGGUGCAUGAUGAAGUAGUAUUGAGGUACCUUACCCGUGUGUAUAUCUGUACAUCAUAUUCGGCUGUUUUCAUAAAUUAAACAUAAAAUAUUUUUCUUGUGUUUUCUUAUAUCUAAAUAAAGUACUUGGAGUUGGAGCUUGGAACCAUAAAAAAACAGAAUUUUGUAGAUAAAGUUAAUACAUGCAUUGAACAAAACUGUGAACAAAUAUAGUCAGCCACUAAAAUAAAGGUAAUUGACUUAUAUAUUCAGGAAAUCACACUAUGCAGGGGAAGAUGAUAUUACCUGGACUAAGGAUAUGAGAAAGUCACUAUAAAAAGGCUUAAAUAUUGCAUUGAACAAACUGAGAACAAAUAACCACAAAAAUAGAGGUAAAUGACAUAUUAUUAGCAUUUCAUUUAUUCAAAAAAAAUAUAUGAAAAUUUUCUUAGUUACAAG
rnacentral:lncRNA from 1 species